CACAUGGCAUCAUGAAGAAAAAUGUAGUACUUGCUUUUGAUGAAGCAUGGGCAGCUACGCAUGGUACUGAUGAAACAAUGCAUUUAUUUUAGACCCAGUAUCUUCCAGGAGUGGCAAGCUCUUAGGAAAGAACCAAUAAAUGGAUUAAUGGAGGAACAGCUAGAAAACUACAUUAAGAUGAAGUGGCUGACACGGAUGGUGCCUGUGGCCUCUUCUAUGAUUGGACAUGAGGACUGCGUGUUCACAGUGGUAGCCAGAGCUUCCUCUUGCUUCUUGUGGUGAUACAAGGCGGAAGACGUGGGGCAUCGGCAGCAUCCACCACAUUGGUUUGACGUCUCUCCAUUUCAGUGAACUGUUCUUGUGAUUAUGUGCCACAUAUUUGCGAUGGGCAUCCCCUGGGUUUCUGGGUAUCAGAGAAAAACUGUGUCUCUAAAUCUUUCUCCAUCACCGUGCCACAGUUCUUUUAAACGACCAACACCCAGGGGCCAUUCCACGUUGAAGGUCAGCUGUGAUGUUAAUUUCUCCUCUCAAAGAAGAAAUACUGAGGCAAAAACUGGCUUGAAAUAUGGAAAAUAAAUGUGCUACCACAGGCAGACUUACUGUGAAGGUGGCCUAAUUCCUAGUUCCUAAUUGGCUUAGUAUUUUGGCCCAUAACUUUGAAAAUUCUCUUUAUUUCCAUCCCAAAUUCAAGUUGUCUGAUGUCAGUGUCUAUUUCUUUAUAAAGCAUUUCUUUCAUUUUCCAGUUCUCCCUGAUUCCACUUGUAAUAAAUCGACCAAGAAACAUUGUUGACCUUUCCUGUAUCUUAUCUCUCUUUAUUCUUUCUUAGUUAAGAAUUUUGUGGAAGACAAAAAGAAAAAUGAG
rnacentral:lncRNA from 1 species